rnacentral:rRNA from 1 species
AGAGUUUGAUCCUGGCUCAGAACGUACGCUGGCGGCACGCCUAAUACAUGCAAGUCGAACGAAGUAGCAAUACUUAGUGGCAGACGGGUGAGUAACAUGUAGGUAUCUUCCCAUUGGUGAGGAAUAACACGAGGAAACUUGUGCUAAUACCUCAUAAGUCUUUACGGAGAAAGCUUUAUGCGCCGAUGGAUGAGCCUGCACUUGAUUAGUUUGUUGGUAGGGUAAUGGCCUACCAAGACAAUGAUCAAUAGCUGAUUUGAGAGGAUGAUCAGCCACAUUGGGACUGAGACACGGCCCAAACUCCUACGGGAGGCAGCAGUAGGGAAUCUUGCACAAUGGGGGGAACCCUGAUGCAGCGAUGCCGCGUGAGUGAAGAAGGCCUUUGGGUUGUAAAGCUCUUUCGUCGGGGAAGAAAAUGACUGUACCCGAAUAAGAAGGUCCGGCUAACUUCGUGCCAGCAGCCGCGGUAAUACGAAGGGACCUAGCGUAGUUCGGAAUUACUGGGCUUAAAGAGUUCGUAGGUGGUUAAAAAAGUUGGUGGUGAAAUCCCAGAGCUUAACUCUGGAACUGCCAUCAAAACUUUUUAGCUAGAGUAUGAUAGAGGAAAGCAGAAUUUCUAGUGUAGAGGUGAAAUUCGUAGAUAUUAGAAAGAAUACCAAUUGCGAAGGCAGCUUUCUGGAUCAUUACUGACACUGAGGAACGAAAGCAUGGGUAGCGAAGAGGAUUAGAUACCCUCGUAGUCCAUGCCGUAAACGAUGUGUGUUAGACGUUGGAAAUUUAUUUUCUGUGUCGCAGCGAAAGCAAUAAACACACCGCCUGGGGAGUACGACCGCAAGGUUAAAACUCAAAUGAAUUGACGGGGACCCGCACAAGUAGUGGAGCAUGUGGUUUAAUUCGAAGAUACGCGCAGAACCUUACCAACACUUGACAUGUUCGUCGCGACUUUAAGAGAUUAAAGUUUUCGGUUCGGCCGGACGAAACACAGGUGCUGCAUGGCUGUCGUCAGCUCGUGUCGUGAGAUGUUGGGUUAAGUCCCGCAACGAGCGCAACCCUCACUUUUAGUUGCCAUCAUUAAGUUGGGCACUCUGAAAGAACUGCCAGUGAUAAGCUGGAGGAAGGUGGGGAUGACGUCAAGUCCUCAUGGCCCUUACGUGUUGGGCUACACACGUGCUACAAUGGCAUUUACAAUAGGAAGCAAAACGGCGACGUUAAGCAAAUCCUAAAAAAAUGCCUCAGUUCGGAUUGUACUCUGCAACUCGAGUACAUGAAGCUGGAAUUACUAGUAAUCGCGGAUCAGCGCGCCGCGGUGAAUACGUUCCCGGGUCUUGUACACACCGCCCGU